GACGAACGCUGGCGGCGUGCUUAACACAUGCAAGUCGAACGAAGUGGCGAACGGGUGAGUAACGCGUAAUCAACCUGCCCUUCAGAGGGGGACAACAGUUGGAAACGACUGCUAAUACCGCAUACUGAAGGAGGGGAUUGCGUCUGAUUAGCUAGUUGGAGGGGUAACGGCCCACCAAGGCGAUGAUCAGUAGCCGGGCCGGGGGGAGGAACGGCCACAUUGGGACUGGGACACGGCCCAGACUCCUACGGGAGGCAGCAGGGGGGAAUCUUCGGCAAUGGACGAAAGUCUGGCGGAGCAACGCGGCGUGAGUGAUGACGGCCUUCGGGUUGUAAAGCUCUGUUAAGCGGGACGCGGUACCGGAAUAGAAAGCCACGGCUAACUCCGUGCCAGCAGCCGCGGUAAUAC
rnacentral:rRNA from 1 species